AGUAACGGCGAGCGAACGGGGAAGAGCUCAUAGCCGAAUCCGGCGCUUAACGGCGUCGGAAAUGUGGCGUAUGGGAGGCGGAGUCCUCCGAGCACGACCUGCGGUACAAGUCCCCAUGAGAGGGGCAUGUUACCCGGAGCGGGUGCUAGGCCCGUGCCGCCGUGGGUCCGCGCGCGGAGUUGCCGUUUUCCCGGGAGUCGGGUUGCUUGGGAGUGCAGCCCAAAGUGGGUGGUAAACUCCACCUAAAGCUAAAUAAGACCGAGAGACCGAUAGCAAACAAGUACCGUGAGGGAAAGUUGAAAAGCACUUUGAAGAGAGAGUUCAAGAGUACGUGAAACUGUCCAGAGGUAAACGGGUGGGACCUCGAAGUCCUAAGGCGGUGGUGGAUUCAGUCGGAGCGCAGACCGAAUCCUCCCGAGGAUACUGGCUACCCCACGACGGGGCGUCGAUCCGCGGGAACGGAUUCGCGCGCCGGCGCACUUCCACGCCCCGUCCUAUAAAGGGCGUCGCGACCGGUUGGAAGGCCGUCGAAAGGGCGAACGCGAAAGGUAGCCGCGCUUUCCCCUCGCGGGAAUCUGCGGUGUUAGAGCCCGUUCGUGCCCCGACGGGUCGUCCGACCGACGAAAGAGACAACUUGUCUMCGGUGCGUUCCCUCCCGGUUCGCGCCGGGAGCAGCCUCCUCGGACGGGCCACCCCGCGGUCUGCCGUGCCAGUCCCCCGGCUGAGCGGUUACGCGGUGGAGGUCGCGACCAGGGAAGCGUUGCGAUGGGAGCCCGGGGUUGCGACGAGUAGGUCGGCAUCCCACCCGACCCGUCUUGAAACACGGACCAAGGAGUCUAACGCGUGUGCGAGUUCCCGGGACUUGAUCAGGCCCGAGGGCGCAAUGAAAGUGAAAGGCGACUUCAAGUCGUCCGAGUUGGGAUCCUUCCCCCUUCGAGGAGAGGGCGCACCAACGGCCCGUCCGAUGCCGUGCUCGGCAGGGCGGAGCUAGAGCAUACGCUCUGGGACCCGAAAGAUGGUGAACUAUGCCUGGGCAGGACGAAGCCAGAGGAAACUCUGGUGGAGGUCCGCAGCGAUUCUGACGUGCAAAUCGAUCGUCAGACCUUGGUAUA
rnacentral:rRNA from 1 species